GUGCUCGCUUCGGCAGCACACAAACUAAGACUGGAAUGAUACAGAGAAGAUGAGCACGGCCCCUGCGCAAGGAUGACAUGCAAAUUCAUGAAGCAUUCCGUAUUUUU
ensembl:snRNA U6 U6 spliceosomal RNA